UGGGGAAUAUUGCACAAUGGGCGCAAGCCUGAUGCAGCCAUGCCGCGUGUGUGAAGAAGGCCUUCGGGUUGUAAAGCACUUUCAGCGAGGAGGAAGGUGGUGAACUUAAUACGUUCAUCAAUUGACGUUACUCGCAGAAGAAGCACCGGCUAACUCCGUGCCAGCAGCCGCGGUAAUACGGAGGGUGCAAGCGUUAAUCGGAAUUACUGGGCGUAAAGCGCACGCAGGCGGUUUGUUAAGUCAGAUGUGAAAUCCCCGGGCUCAACCUGGGAACUGCAUUUGAAACUGGCAAGCUAGAGUCUCGUAGAGGGGGGUAGAAUUCCAGGUGUAGCGGUGAAAUGCGUAGAGAUCUGGAGGAAUACCGGUGGCGAAGGCGGCCCCCUGGACGAAGACUGACGCUCAGGUGCGAAAGCGUGGGGGCAAGCAAGCAUGAUAGAUACCCUGGUAGUCCACGCUGUAAACGAUGUCGAUUUUGGAGGUUGUGCCCUUGAGGCGUGGCUUCCGGAGCUAACGCGUUAAAUCGACCGCCUGGGGAGUACGGCCGCAAGGUUAAAACUCAAAGGAAUUGACGGGGUC
rnacentral:rRNA from 1 species